GACUGCUUGGCACUCGCGAACACCGCGAUCUUAUCAGAUAAAUCGCGGAGUUAGCCGGUGGCAACCAGGCG
rnacentral:pre_miRNA from 14 species